rnacentral:lncRNA from 1 species
UUCUGUUUUUUUCGUUAAAUUGUAUUUUAGAUACAAAACUUUAUUUAUUUAUUUUAAAAUUUCCUAAUUAAAACUUUAAUUAAAUAAUAAUUGUUUAUGUAACGACCCGACCCCUCACAAAUACUUAAAUCCAAUUAUUAUUAUUAUUAGGAUGCGAGCCUUCAUAUAAACUGGUCGAAAUCAGUAUCAUGUGGGACUAUUGGGCCAUUACAAUUACCUGUCUAAAACAA